rnacentral:rRNA from 1 species
UGGGGAAUUUUGCACAAUGGAGGAAACUCUGAUGCAGCGACGCCGCGUGAGUGAUGAAGAUCUUCGGAUUGUAAAACUCUGUCCUUAGUGAAGAUAAUGACAGUAACUAAGAAGCAAGCCCUGGCUAAAUACGUGCCAGCAGCCGCGGUAAUACGUAUGGGGCAAGCGUUGUCCGGAAUUAUUGGGCGUAAAGGGUACGUAGGCGGUUUAAUAAGUCCUAAUUAAAAGGCUAUGGCUCAACCAUAGUAUGGUUAGGAAACUGUUGAACUUGAGUAGAUGAGGGGAAAGUGGAAUUCCAUGUGUAGCGGUGAAAUGCGUAGAUAUAUGGAGGAACACCAAUGGCGAAGGCAACUUUCUGGAAUCAAACUGACGCUGAGGUACGAAGGCGUGGGGAGCGAACAGG